GACGAACGCUGGCGGCGUGCUUAACACAUGCAAGUCGAACGGAAAGGCCCUGCUUUUGUGGGGUGCUCGAGUGGCGAACGGGUGAGUAACACGUGAGUAACCUGCCCUUGACUUUGGGAUAACUUCAGGAAACUGGGGCUAAUACCGGAUAGGAGCUCCGGCUGCAUGGUGGGGGGUGGAAAGUUUCGGCGGUUGGGGAUGGACUCGCGGCUUAUCAGCUUGUUGGUGGGGUAGUGGCUUACCAAGGCUUUGACGGGUAGCCGGCCUGAGAGGGUGACCGGCCACAUUGGGACUGAGAUACGGCCCAGACUCCUACGGGAGGCAGAAGUGGGGAAUAUUGCACAAUGGGCGGAAGCCUGAUGCAGCAACGCCGCGUGCGGGAUGACGGCCUUCGGGUUGUAAACCGCUUUCGCCUGUGACGAAGCGUGAGUGACGGUAAUGGGUAAAGAAGCACCGGCUAACUACGUG
rnacentral:rRNA from 1 species